ACAGCUGUCUCUUUGUGACUCUAUAGAAUUUGAUUUUUAGGUGAAGAAGCCUAAAUAAAAUUGAAAGACAAGAAGACCCUAUCGAGCUUUAAACAAAUUAGUAAAACAUAAUAUUUAUUUAUAAAAUAUUUAUUUCUAAAAAUUUUGGUUGGGGCGACUGAGGAACAAACAAAGCUUCCUCUAAAUAUUAUUAACAUAUUAAUAUUGAUCCAGAACUAUUCUGAUUAAAAAAAUUAGUUACCGUAGGGAUAACAGCAUAAUCUUUUUUGAGAGUUCUUAUCGAAAAAAAGGUUUGUGACCUCGAUG
rnacentral:rRNA from 1 species